rnacentral:rRNA from 1 species
CCUACGGGAGGCAGCAGUGGGGAAUAUUGCACAAUGGGGGGAACCCUGAUGCAGCGACGCCGCGUGGGUGAAGAAGCGCCUCGGCGCGUAAAGCCCUGUCAGCAGGGAAGAAAAUGACGGUACCUGAAGAAGAAGCCCCGGCUAACUACGUGCCAGCAGCCGCGGUAAUACGUAGGGGGCAAGCGUUAUCCGGAUUUACUGGGUGGAAAGGGGGCGCAGACGGGGAUGCAAGCCAGGAGUGAAAGCCCGGGGCCCAACCCCGGGACUGCUCUUGGAACUGCGUGGCUGGAGUGCAGGAGGGGCAGGCGGAAUUCCUGGUGUAGCGGUGAAAUGCGUAGAUAUCAGGAGGAACACCGGUGGCGAAGGCGGCCUGCUGGACUGCAACUGACGUUGAGGCCCGAAAGCGUGGGGAGCAAACAGGAUGAGAUACCCCAGUAGUC